AUUGAACGCUGGCGGCAUGCUUUACACAUGCAAGUCGAACGGUAACAGGCCUUCGGGUGCUGACGGGUGGCGAACGGGUGAGUAAUGCAUCGGAACGUGCCCAGAGGUGGGGGAUAACGCAGCGAAAGCUGUGCUAAUACCGCAUGUGAUCUGAGGAUGAAAGCGGGGGACCAAGCAGCAAUGUUUGGCCUCGCGCCUCUGGAGCGGCCGAUGUCAGAUUAGGUAGUUGGUGGGGUAAAGGCCUACCAAGCCGACGAUCUGUAGCUGGUCUGAGAGGACGACCAGCCACACUGGGACUGAGACACGGCCCAGACUCCUACGGGAGGCAGCAGUGGGGAAUUUUGGACAAUGGGCGCAAGCCUGAUCCAGCAAUGCCGCGUGCGGGAAGAAGGCCUUCGGGUUGUAAACCGCUUUUGUACGGAACGAAAAGGCUCUGGCUAAUACCUGGGGCUGAUGACGGUACCGUAAGAAUAAGCACCGGCUAACUACGUG
rnacentral:rRNA from 1 species